CUCCUACGGGAGGCAGCAGUGGGGAAUUUUGGACAAUGGGCGAAAGCCUGAUCCAGCAAUGCCGCGUGCAGGAAGAAGGCCUUCGGGUUGUAAACUGCUUUUGUACGGAACGAAACGGUCUGCCCUAAUACGGCGGGCUAAUGACGGUACCGUAAGAAUAAGCACCGGCUAACUACGUGCCAGCAGCCGCGGUAAUAC
rnacentral:rRNA from 1 species